rnacentral:other from 1 species
UACCCACUGUGGUGUUCGAGAUCAGUAGGCAAUUCUUGAACCACUUUGAUUUUCGUUAGGAUGCUAUUCCCGGCACUGGUGUGCAAGCCUGCCAUCGAGCAGGAAGCCUUUUUUGUCGGCACCAGCGUCCACCCUGGUUGUUGGGUUCGAGAUCGAUCGCUGUAACCGGCGCUAAUGGUGGGUAC